AAGCAAGAAUAGCACCAGCAGGCUGUGGCCCACACUGAGACGGGAUGGGCACCAUUUGUCUCCUUCAUUCCUGAAGCGCCCCAGCUUGGGCCAGGCACCCUUGUUGGGACGCUAUCAUUUGCAGCCGGGCUUGUGGGACCGCUUGGGCGCCAUUUUGACCACUAGAGAGAAGGCACAGCCAUGAGAGGAAAGGUGCCUGCAUCCCUACAUGACCACAAGCAAAGCCUAUCUGCUGACCACGAGCGAGA
rnacentral:lncRNA from 1 species